AAAAACACAAUAACAUUCUCAUUUUUAUGUCAGCGCUAGUUCUGGACUCCUGCAUUCAUCACAUAGUAGCUAGGGGGUUUUGACAUUUCAGGAGUUUAUUGCCUUUUAUGAUUUCAGAGUGUCACAAACAAAACCCAUAUGAACAAAACCAUUUGUUUGAUGAGGAAGCUUGGUCAUUCCUGUGCCACAAGAAGAGAGAAUCCGCAAUGAAUUUAUUUGUGUUCUGCUAUGUAAAUCACAGCAUCUCAUGAGCUCAUCAGCACUUGCUUGUUUUUUAGUAUUACCUUACUGUUUUGAAAACUUCACGUUAAUGACCUGUAAGAUGAAGUAUCUAGCUGAACAGUUUUUCUUUCACCUACAGAAGCACUGUGUGCUACCCACAAAGGCAGCUGAAAUCUGGUUUCUUGGUCUCAGCUGUUGCCAUUUCCUGCCCUGAGAUUCCCAAGGACCUGGUUCAGCUGAUUGUUCAGUGCAUCCUGAACAGCCCCCAAGUCUGUGGGAAACACAACUGCAAGCACUGCACCCCUGUAAUUGUGGGACCAACUCUCUUAAUAUUGGAGACAAUUUAACUGUAAAAUUAAAGUAACAAUAGCAUCUGUGAACAAAUACCAUAAAUGUUAAUUAUAAAUAUAUUUACCUUAUGAGCUCAUGACCAAGAUGCAAGACAGGAGAGUCAGGAAACCAGUGCUGUACUCACAGCUCUGCUGUGGACUCACCAUAGGAGUUGGGCACACCACUCACUUUCUGUCACAUCAGUAUUUUCUACUUUAACACUAGGAAAACAACAACUUGCUCCUCACAGAGGAUACGUCAAGAUUCCUGUGUACUCUUCUCAGUAGAGAUCUCCAGGUACUUAGUGGCCUGACCCAGAGUUACCAGCCCAGUGUCCUCAGGGUCAAAAGACAAGCCAAGGGGGCCAGCUGACGUGAUCUGGAUCAGCAUCCACAUGCAAAGUAGUAAGUUUGAAUUUCAAGUAUGCCAGAAUGACUGGAAUAAUCAAGAGCCAGCCAAAAGACUAGAUCACCUGAAGACCUGGUUUCAGGGCUGGCAAAUCGGCCCAGAGACAAGGACAAUAGUUCUGUAAGCAGCAAGAAAACUGAAGGCCAGUUUCCUCUGAACUUGCACCUACUGACUGACUUCAAGCAUAUUAUAGGCAAGUCAAAACAUUAGUUUAUUUCUUCUUGGACAUCAAAUAAUCUAUGUAAAAGACAGUAAUUUUCUCCAUAUUUGGGAGAAAUCUCUGUGCAGCUUGUCUAUUUUUCUUUAACUGUCUAAGAAGGAUUUGCAUAUUCCCCUAGAUAGUAGAUCUUCUAACAGCUUGUUUUGGUUUUAAAUUUCUUCUCAGCCUUUCUCUCAAUGAAGGCAAUAAAAGUCUCUGUUCUCUGACCAGCUGCCUGUUUUCAUGGUAGGAAUCUGUAGUCUUUGAGGCUAAGACUGCAUAUUAAACGUGGCUGCAACAAAUGAAUGGUUUUAAAACUUUUCUGGGGGAAGGAAGGUGUAGGCAGAGUGUGCUGGCGCAAGCCUUGCUUUCAUGGAAUUUUAGGCCUCUGCAUAGGAAGCCUAUCUAAGGUUGACAUGUUGUAAAAACUGCCCAGUGUAGAUGUGCCUGCAAAACAUUGACAGUUUAUUUCUAUAAUACUUGGCUAUAGGAACACAAGUCGAUUAUCACUUCUGACAUCUUAAUUUUGUUACUUGGUUUAAUAUCUCUAAAGGGACUAAACUUUCCAGAGUGCAGAUGUUCAUAACUCUGAAACGGGCCUC